UACGGAGGGUGCAAGCGUUGUCCGGAAUCACUGGGCGUAAAGGGCGCGUAGGCGGCUCAUGAAGGCUGUGGUGAAAGUCCGGGGCUCAACCUCGGAUCGGCCGUGGCGACUCGUGGGCUGGAGCACUGUAGAGGCGGGUGGAAUUCCGGGUGUAGCGGUGGAAUGCGUAGAGAUCCGGAAGAACACCAAAGGCGAAGGCAGUGUCCUGGGGAGUACCUGACGCUCAGGUGCGAAAGCCAGGGGAGCGAACGGG
rnacentral:rRNA from 1 species